GAUGAACGCUGGCGGCGUGCUUAACACAUGCAAGUCGAACGAGAAGUGGAGACGGAAACCUUCGGGCGGAAGACUUUAUUUCGAGUGGCGGCCGGGGGAGUAACGCGUGGGUAACCUGCCUCCUACAGGGGGAUAACAGUUGGAAACGACUGUUAAUACUGCAUAAGACCACAGCACCGCAUGGUGCGGGGGUAAAAACUCCGGUGGUAUGGGAUGGACCCGCGUUUGAUUGGCCGGUUGGCGGGGUAACGGCCCACCAAAGCGCCGAACGAUAGCCGAACUGAGAGGAGGACCGACCACAUUGGGACUGAGACACAGCCCAAACUCCUACGGAAGGCAGCGGUGGGUAAUAUUGCACAAUGGAGGAAAACCUGAGGCAGCGGCGCCGCGUGAGUGAAGAAGUAUGUCGGUAUGUAAAGCUCUAUCAGCAGGGAAGAAAAUGACGGUACCUGAGUAAGAAGCCCCGGCUAACUACGUG
rnacentral:rRNA from 1 species